rnacentral:rRNA from 1 species
UACAGAGGUCCCAAGCGUUGUUCGGAUUCACUGGGCGUAAAGGGUGCGUAGGUGGCGGGGUAAGUCGGAUGUGAAAGCUCGGAGCUCAACUCCGAAAUUGCAUUGUAAACUACCUUGCUCGAGGGUUGGAGGGGGGACUGGAAUGCUUGGUGUAGCAGUGAAAUGCGUAGAUAUCAAGCGGAACACCAGUGGCGAAGGCGAGUCCCUGGACAACUCCUGACACUGAGGCACGAAAGCUAGGGGAGCAAACGGG